rnacentral:tRNA from 1 species
UAGCCUAGUGGUAAAGGCUAAGGAUUGCUAAUCCGGAGACGGCGGGUUCGAUUCCCGU